CCUACGGGUGGCAGCAGUGGGGAAUAUUGCUCAAUGGGGGAAACCCUGAUGCAGCGACGCCGCGUGAAGGAAGAAGGAUUUCGGUAUGUAAACUUCUUUUAGUAGGGAAGAAAAUGACGGUACCUGACUAAGAAGCACCGGCUAACUACGUGCCAGCAGCCGCGGUAAUACGGAGGGGGCAAGCGUUAUCCGGAUUCACUGGGCGUAAAGGGCGCGUAGGCGGUUCAGCAAGUCAGAAGUGAAAGCCCGGGGCUCAACCCCAGGACUGCUUUUGAAACUGUUGAACUAGAUUGCAGGAGAGGUAAGUGGAAUUCCUGGUGUAGCGGUGAAAUGCGUAGAUAUUAGGAGGAACACCAGUUGCGAAGGCGGCUUACUGGACUGUAACUGACGCUGAGGCACGAAAGCGUGGGGAGCAAACAGGAUUAGAUACCCUGGUAGUC
rnacentral:rRNA from 1 species